rnacentral:rRNA from 1 species
UACGUAGGGGGCAAGCGUUGUCCGGAUUCAUUGGGCGUAAAGAGCGUGUAGGCGGCCAGGUAGGUCCGUUGUGAAAACUCGAGGCUCAACCUCGAGACGUCGAUGGAAACCAUCUGGCUAGAGUCCGGAAGAGGAGAGUGGAAUUCCUGGUGUAGCGGUGAAAUGCGCAGAUAUCAGGAAGAACACCAAUGGCGAAAGCAGCUCUCUGGGACGGUACUGACGCUGAGACGCGAAAGCGUGGGGAGCGAACAGG